UAGACAUGGCAGUAAUGCAGUUAACACAUUAAGUGUGCCGCCUGGGGAGUACGGUCGCAAGAUUAAAACUCAAAGGAAUAGACGGGGACCCGCACAAGCGGUGGAGCAUGUGGUUUAAUUCGACGAUACGCGAAGAACCUUACCUGGACUUGACAUAGAAAGAAUUACGCAGAGAUGUAUAAGUGCCAGCUUGCUGGAACUUUCAUACAGGUGCUGCACGGCUGUCGUCAGCUCGUGUCGUGAGAUGUUGGGUUAAGUCCCGCAACGAGCGCAACCCUCGUCGUUAGUUGCUAACAGUUCGGCUGAGAACUCUAACGAGACUGCCUGGGUAACCAGGAGGAAGGUGAGGACGACGUCAAGUCAUCAUGGCCCUUACGUCCAGGGCUACACACGUGCUACAAUGGGGCAUACAAAGAGCCGCGAUACCGUGAGGUGGAGCAAAUCUCAAAAAUGCCUCCCAGUUCGGAUAGCAGUCUGCAACUCGACUGCUUGAAGUUGGAAUCGCUAGUAAUCGUAGAUCAGCAAUGCUACGGUGAAUACGUUCCCGGGUCUUGUACUCACCGCCCGUCACACCAUGGGAGUUGAUUUCAUUCGAAGCGGGGAUGCUAAAGUAGCUACCCUCCACAGUGGAAUUAGCGACUGGGGUGAAGUCGUAACAAGGUAGCCG
rnacentral:rRNA from 1 species